rnacentral:rRNA from 1 species
UACGUAGGGUGCAAGCGUUUAAUCGGAAUUACUGGGCGUAAAGCGUGCGCAGGCGGUGAUGUAAGACAGUUGUGAAAUCCCCGGGCUCAACCUGGGAACUGCAUCUGUGACUGCAUCGCUGGAGUGCGGCAGAGGGGGAUGGAAUUCCGCGUGUAGCAGUGAAAUGCGUAGAUAUGCGGAGGAACACCGAUGGCGGAAGGCAAUCCCCUGGGCCUGCACUGACGCUCAUGCACGAAAGCGUGGGGAGCAAACAGG